AUUGAACGCUGGCGGCAGGUCUAACACAUGCAAGUCGAGCGAGCGGCGGAAGGGUGAGUAAUGUAUGGGGACUGCCCGAUAGAGGGGGAGAACUACUGGCAACGGUAGCUAAUACCGCAUACUAUCGUAUACCCCAUAGUGGAUUAGAUAGUAGGUGAGGUAAGGGCUCACCAAGCCGACGCUCCCUAGCUGGUCUGAGAGGAUGAUCAGCCACACGGGGACUGAGACACGGCACAGACUCCGACGGAGGCAGCAGUGGGGAAUCUUGGACAAUGGGGGCAAGCCUGAGGCAGCCAUGACGCGUGUAUGAAGAAGGCCCUAGGGUUGUAAAGUACUUUCAGUCGGGAGGCGUUGCCGACAGAAGAAGCACCGGCUAACUCCGUGCCAGCAGCCGCGGUAAUUC
rnacentral:rRNA from 1 species